rnacentral:rRNA from 2 species
UCCGGUGGCAAUGGCGGAGGGGAAACACCUGGAUCCAUUCCGAACCCAGAAGUUAAGCCCUCCAGCGCCGAUGGUACUUCCCUGGAGACGGGGCGGGAGAGUAGGUCGCCGCCGGGA